GUAUCUCAAAACAACAGUAAUUUAUUCUCUCACAGUUCUGGAAGCCAGAGUCUGAGAUGAGAAUCACUGUGCUAAAAUCAAGAUGUCAGCAGAACUGCACUCCCCGCAGAGGCUUUAAGGAAGCAUCUGUUUCUUGUAUCUUGCAGCUUCUGGUGGCUGCCGGCAUUCCUUGGCUGUGGCUUCAUCACUAAAAUCUUUAAGAUCAGCAUUUUCAAAUUUCUUUCUGUUUCAUCUUCACAGUGCCUUCUCUUCUGUGUAAGCAAAAUCGCCCUCUGCCACUUUCAUAAGGAUGCUAGAGCAGCAGCAGCAGCAGCAGCAGGAAGAGUGAGGCAAACGGAAGGAGAGCACAGGGCAUCCGAAGGCUGCUCCAAGACCUUGGGGCCGGUCAGCCUGGUGCGGAAGCUCUCCUGCCAUUUCCUAGCACACAAUCUUGGUUGAAUUCCCAAAGCCCACUUCUGGCUGAGUCUCCUCCACCAUGUGUAAUAUGGAUUAAUAUUAAUACC
rnacentral:lncRNA from 10 species